CUGCAACUGUUUAUUAAAAACACAGCACUGUGCAAACACGAAAGUGGACGUAUACGGUGUGACGCCUGCCCGGUGCCGGAAGGUUAAUUGAUGGGGUCAGCGCAAGCGAAGCUCCUGAUCGAAGCCCCGGUAAACGGCGGCCGUAACUAUAACGGUCCUAAGGUAGCGAAAUUCCUUGUCGGGUAAGUUCCGACCUGCACGAAUGGCGUAAUGAUGGCCAGGCUGUCUCCACCCGAGACUCAGUGAAAUUGAACUCGCUGUGAAGAUGCAGUGUACCCGCGGCAAGACGGAAAGACCCCGUGAACCUUUACUAUAGCUUGACACUGAACAUUGAGCCUUGAUGUGUAGGAUAGGUGGGAGGCUUUGAAGCGUGGACGCCAGUCUGCGUGGAGCCGACCUUGAAAUACCACCCUUUAAUGUUUGAUGUUCUAACGUGGACCCGUAAUCCGGGUUGCGGACAGUGUCUGGUGGGUAGUUUGACUGGGGCGGUCUCCUCCUAAAGAGUAACGGAGGAGCACGAAGGUUGGCUAAUCCUGGUCGGACAUCAGGAGGUUAGUGCAAUGGCAUAAGCCAGCUUGACUGCGAGCGUGACGGCGCGAGCAGGUGCGAAAGCAGGUCAUAGUGAUCCGGUGGUUCUGAAUGGAAGGGCCAUCGCUCAACGGAUAAAAGGUACUCCGGGGAUAACAGGCUGAUACCGCCCAAGAGUUCAUAUCGACGGCGGUGUUUGGCACCUCGAUGUCGGCUCAUCACAUCCUGGGGCUGAAGUAGGUCCCAAGGGUAUGGCUGUUCGCCAUUUAAAGUGGUACGCGAGCUGGGUUUAGAACGUCGUGAGACAGUUCGGUCCCUAUCUGCCGUGGGCGCUGGAGAACUGAGGGGGGCUGCUCCUAGUACGAGAGGACCGGAGUGGACGCAUCACUGGUGUUCGGGUUGUCAUGCCAAUGGCACUGCCCGGUAGCUAAAUGCGGAAGAGAUAAGUGCUGAAAGCAUCUAAGCACGAAACUUGCCCCGAGAUGAGUUCUCCCUGAGACUUUAGGUCUCCUGAAGGAACGUUGAAGACGACGACGUUGAUAGGCCGGGUGUGUAAGCGCAGCGAUGCGUUGAGCUAACCGGUACUAAUGAACCGUGAGGCUUAACCUUACAACGCCGAAG
rnacentral:rRNA from 2 species